GUCACGCUGGCCCUUUAAGAGACAGGCCUGCAAAUUACCGCUCUACCUGGGAGUGCCGCGAGAUGUUAGAUGCCGUCAAUGCAAUGUGCAGUGCAAGCAAGGUGGUGCUUAGGCAGAGGUUAAGUAGUAUAAUAAAAGUUUAUAGAACUACUAAUAUAAAUAGAUAAUAACAUAUAAAGCUGUGUACUUCGGGUUGGUGAUAUAGCGCCGAUCCAAGUGGAAGUACUUCUCCAGUACCAAUUUCAGCUAAUCACUGUUUCCCGAAGAGCGUAAGUGUUGUGAAAGGAGUUGAAUACUUUUAAUCAUUUAUCCUGUUUGUGCAACAUGAUGUGUUUUGAUAAAGUAUAUUUCUUUUUGUUGAAUAAAGAGGGGAGAGAACGUGUUUGAUAGGCCCCCCGUGGGUAUUGUCGAGUUACGAGUGAUUCAUCAUCGUUUUCUACUGAACACAAUGGGUUCAGCAAGUGAAUGUUUAAAUGGCUGAAUAGUGCUCAGGAUGCAUUAAUCCGAACAGGACAGUGUUUAUUGAGGCUGCUACCGUUGUCUAUGUUGCCCUAAAAACUCAUGUGUUGCAAGUUUAAAGCCAUCUCUGUAGACCCCGAAUGUGGCACAAUUAAUGCUGCACCAUUACGCAGUCUGGAAUAAAACAACCCACAAUAAUUUCAACCUGUGCCCCGUCGCUAUUAUUCAUUCACUUUGCCGGGCCACAGAUUAUGGUGUCAGAAGUGGGAUUCCAUUGCCUACUUCGGGUCAGCGAGCAAGUAGAGUUGGGAAGGGCAUAGACAACGGUAGUAGUGAAGAGUAGUUGAGUCCCAGUGCCAAGAGGAUCAACAACGUGGAGUGUGGUGUGCCUGCAGAGCCUGCGAGGAAGCAAGGGACCGGUUUCCAGCAACACAGGAGGGUGGCCGCACCGUUGUGGUGUCCACUGGCAAAGGAGGCCCAAAGAGAUUGGUUCCUUAGGUUGGACUGAAGCAACUGUGACUAUUAUUCUAUCCGUGUGACAUUCAAAGUGGGAACAUUGUAUCAACAUGGACCAGGUCGAGGGUGAGUCUGGUGACGAGGGUGCGUCUGGGGCUCAGGCUGGACCCAGCCGCAACGCGAACAGCGCGGAUGCUGUAGAUCAGAGGUCGCCAACCUGUCGAUCGCGAUCGACGUGUCGAUCUCGGAGACUUUCCCUGUCGAUCUCC